rnacentral:snRNA from 1 species
GUGCUCGCUUCGGCAGCACAUAGACUAAAAUUGGAACGAUACAGAGAAGAUUAGCAUGGCUCCUGCGCAAGGAUGGCACACAAAUUCGUGAAGCGUUCCAUAUUUUU